UUUUUUUUCUUUUCUUUUUUUUCGUUUUCUUUUUUUUUUUUUUAAGGUAAAAUGAAGGGUAAAUUUUGGGGUAUUACAGCUGCCCCUAUUCAAUCAACUGGAGACCCGGAAAGAAGAUGGCAACUGCUUUCGUGCUUUCGAGGUAUCAAGGGAUUGAAUACAAUAAAAGCCUAAAAAUUUGCACUGAAGUGAAGUGAAGUAACAAUGUAUGUCAGAAUCGGCAAAGAGGUGGUCUUGAAAGAAGAAUCCGUCUGGUACGGUGAAAGUCAGUCUGAAUGCCGCUCAUCAGUCUGAAUACUGGAAAGGAUUUCGAUCUGAACAUCGAAAAAUGGGCCUGAAUGCCACAAGUCGCAUCGACCUGAACGUCGGAAACUUCUUCGAUCUGAACAUCGGAAAAUUGGCCUGAAUGCCACUUCGAUCUGAAUAUCGGAAAAUUG
rnacentral:lncRNA from 1 species